CACCCUAUGGGCCAAAAUCGCCAGUUUAUUAGGUAGGCCUACACCUAGCUAAAAUUAAUGCAGUCAAUUCCUCCCUUCAGGAAGGUUAUGUUCCGUUUUUUUGUAGUGGAAGAAGUACUCAGGUCACAAGUAAAAUUACGACCUUUCUACAUAAGCAUUAGCAUCAAAAUAUAGCCUACUUAAAGUACCAAAAAGUAAAAGUAGCCUAGUCGUUUUGCAGAAAGGCCCAUUUCAGAAUAAUGUGUAUUAUAUUACUGGAUAAUAAUUAUUGAUGACUUGAAUGUUGCAGAUGAUGGAGCUAAUUUUAUAUACUGCUUGGUACUGACAGAGAGUAAAGGGGAGAGAGAGGAGAAGACAUGCAACAAAGGGCUCUGGGCUGGAAUCAAACCCACUGCGGAAUGCCAAAAGCAACAAGGUCACCCUGCAUCAUCACAAUUUGCCAAAAGCUCCUUCUGUCGUAAAUCACUCAUCCCAGGAUUUUAA